GACGAACGCUGGCGGCGUGCUUAACACAUGCAAGUCGAACGGAAAGGCCCUGCUUUUGUGGGGUGCUCGAGUGGCGAACGGGUGAGUAACACGUGAGUAACCUGCCCUUGACUUUGGGAUAACUUCAGGAAACUGGGGCUAAUACCGGAUAGGAGCUCCUGCUGCGUGGUGGGGGUUGGAAAGUUUCGGCGGUUGGGGAUGGACUCGCGGCUUAUCAGCUUGUUGGUGGGGUAGUGGCUUACCAAGGCUUUGACGGGUAGCCGGCCUGAGAGGGUGACCGGCCACAUUGGGACUGAGAUACGGCCCAGACUCCUACGGGAGGCAGCAGUGGGGAAUAUUGCACAAUGGGCGGAAGCCUGAUGCAGCAACGCCGCGUGCGGGAUGACGGCCUUCGGGUUGUAAACCGCUUUCGCCUGUGACGAAGCGUGAGUGACGGUAAUGGGUAAAGAAGCACCGGCUAACUACGUGCCAGCAGCCGCGGUGAUACGUAGGGUGCGAGCGUUGUCCGGAUUUAUUGGGCGUAAAGGGCUCGUAGGUGGUUGAUCGCGUCGGAAGUGUAAUCUUGGGGCUUAACCCUGAGCGUGCUUUCGAUACGGGUUGACUUGAGGAAGGUAGGGGAGAAUGGAAUUCCUGGUGGAGCGGUGGAAUGCGCAGAUAUCAGGAGGAACACCAGUGGCGAAGGCGGUUCUCUGGGCCUUUCCUGACGCUGAGGAGCGAAAGCGUGGGGAGCGAACAGGCUUAGAUACCCUGGUAGUCCACGCUGUAAACGGUGGGUACUAGGUGUGGGGUCCAUUCCACGGGUUCCGUGCCGUAGCUAACGCUUUAAGUACCCCGCCUGGGGAGUACGGCCGCAAGGCUAAAACUCAAAGGAAUUGACGGGGCCCCGCACAAGCGGCGGAGCAUGCGGAUUAAUUCGAUGCAACGCGUAGAACCUUACCUGGGUUUGACAUGGAUCGGGAGCGCUCAGAGAUGGGUGUGCCUCUUUUGGGGUCGGUUCACAGGUGGUGCAUGGCUGUCGUCAGCUCGUGUCGUGAGAUGUUGGGUUAAGUCCCGCAACGAGCGCAACCCUUGUUCACUGUUGCCAGCACGUUAUGGUGGGGACUCAGUGGAGACCGCCGGGGUCAACUCGGAGGAAGGUGGGGAUGACGUCAAGUCAUCAUGCCCCUUAUGUCCAGGGCUUCACGCAUGCUACAAUGGCUGGUACAGAGAGUGGCGAGCCUGUGAGGGUGAGCGAAUCUCGGAAAGCCGGUCUCAGUUCGGAUUGGGGUCUGCAACUCGACCUCAUGAAGUCGGAGUCGCUAGUAAUCGCAGAUCAGCAACGCUGCGGUGAAUACGUUCCCGGGGCUUGUACACACCGCCCGUCAAGUCAUGAAAGUUGGUAACACCCGAAGCCGGUGGCCUAACCGUUGUGGGGGAGCCGUCGAAGGUGGGAUUGGUGAUUAGG
rnacentral:rRNA from 1 species